rnacentral:misc_RNA from 1 species
AAGUCGUAACAAGGUUUCCGUAGGUGAACCUGCGGAAGGAUCAUUACUGAGUGAGGGCCCCUCGGGGUCCAACCUCCCACCCGUGUUUAACGAACCUUGUUGCUUCGGCGGGCCCGCCUCACGGCCGCCGGGGGGCAUCUGCCCCCGGGCCCGCGCCCGCCGAAGCCACCUGUGAACGCUGUCUGAAGUAUGCAGUCUGAGACAAUUAUUAAAUUAAUUAAAACUUUCAACAACGGAUCUCUUGGUUCCG